GGACCCGACGACAUUUGCCGCAUGUCUUCCCCGUUUCCUGUCACCCUGCUGUCAUAUAAGGGGCAUUAGAGCCACAAAAUACCCCCUGGAGGGGUAAAAAAGAAAAGGAUCAAUCAAUAAAUUUUAUUGAUAAGGGACCCUUUCAUACUACAAGCAGCUCAAAGAGCUUUACAACCAAUGAGCCGUCAGGUUUCUCUGACAAACCGUUCCAUAAUACUGGAUGGAUAUGAAAUGACUAAAACUAUAUGAUCAUGCAGAAGGUUAAAAUAAGAUUCAUAAAUACAUAUAUAUAGAAAAAACAACAAAACAAGCCUAAUCGAUUUCUACUGGUUUCUUCUCUUUCCCUCUGUCAGAGCCUCACUGCAGUGCAUCUGACCUCUGACCUCAGCUCCUCAAACCUGUCCUCCAUGGACCGGAUGAUGUCCCUCCUACAAAACCAGCUGAUGAAAGACAACGAGAAGAUGAGGAAGGUAGCAGCCUGACUCGUCCUUGUUUCUCAGCAUGGGUGGGAAGUGUACCUCGUCUGCACCCAGAGCGGAUCAGAACCGGAUGGAACCGGUCCAGUAGCGUGAAGAAGCCUCCGCCCUGCGCCGCUGUGGGUGUCAUGACUUACGGCUCUGGAGUGUGUGUCUGUGGGGGGGUCUGCCCAGGGACCUUUGAGCAACACUGGAAGCGUGCUGUUCACGUGUCGUCUGCAUCGCCGUGGCGACUGGGAGCUCGGCCAACCAGGUUGGCCGUCUGCCCGCAGCAGCACUGACCUCAGCAGGAGGAAGAGGAGGACGAAGGCCGUCCAAGUGGAGGAGAAGGGAGAGGCUUCUGGGCUCUGAUUGGCUGCGACAGACGCCAUGGUUACCUGGACAGCGUCGAUGGAAAUGUUGGCAAAGUCGAAAUGUUUCGGUGACUGAGGCUCUCCGGCGUCCCGCCUCCUGAUUGGACGGAGCGGCUGCUCGGUUUGUCUCAGUGAAGCUGGUGUCACGUGGUUUCCAUGGAAACGGCGAUGCAGAGGGCCAAACAUCAGAAAGAGGUCAGCAUCGGGAUCAUUAGCGCCCCCUUUGGUGAGGCCGUUGUUAGCAUCACUGAACAGAUCUGGUUCAUGCGUUCAGCAUCCUGAGGCGAGGGGAGCUUCAUCAGCGCAGACCGAGCGCCUGAAGGACUGAGACCGUUUCCUCCCCGCUGCAGUUAAAUCUCUCCGUCGCUUACCUGUUGGUUGCCAUGGUUACAGGAUGCAGGAGCCUGGGCUGUUCACAACACAUGCAGGAACACGAUCGUGUCUGAAACUGUCGGGAGGUAUGGUUGCCAUGGUUACAGCAGGUUACCAACAGGAGCUGUAGGUGAGAUGAACAUGAACCUCUGGUUCUGCUGAAACCCACCAAACUGGAUCAAAGAUCUAGAUGAGUCCAGAUCUAGGACCAGAUCUAGGCUCCAGCUGAUGCAGGGAGCUGCCGGUUGUUUGGACCGGUUCUGGUCCUGGGGGACAGAACGCUGCGCCUCCCGGAGCCGCUCCGUCAGCAGCGCCUCGUUAAUAACUUCAUCUCUUCAUCGUUAGAGCCCCCCCCUCCCCCCCCCCGGGGAGCGGCGAUGCAGAAACACACGGUUCAGAGUGUGAGGAAGAACAAGGAGGCCGGCUGCUUGAGCAACCCGCCGCCACCCCUCACCCACUUCCUGUAAGCUCUGAUUGGCCCAAGAAGUGGGGGAAAGGUCGGGGGGGUUAGGGGGGGGGCGCGGCCCCCUCUGAGCUGAGGCUCUGAGCGAGGCGUGCAGCCGGGGUCAAGAGGUCAAAUCCCAGCAGGGUUGGGCAAUAGGUGGAGUGAGAGCCAACAGGAUGAAGACUGCUGCUGGGCCGUCCCAGUUACUACUGGAACCAGUGGAGUGAUGUUGUCCAUCAUGGAAGAAGUGAAGUUUUAUAUUUGGACCUAAAGAGGAACAAUCUAGAGCUAUAGAUCUAGAGUCAGCUUCAGUUGUUCCAGCUGUAAACCAGAGGCUGACCUCUGACCUGACCCUUGGGUUCCACAGUGGACCUUCUAGCAGCUCCAGAACAUUUCCAGGACCAGAGACUAAAGUCUCAGAUCACUUAGACUUAGACUGACUUUAUUGUCAUUUUCAUGCACAGGGUGAAUACAGAACCAAA